GCUGGCUUUGGAGAACCAUAGAAGAGAGACUCUUACUGAAGGUGAAAUGGGAUGAUCAAGUCUUCUGGCCCCGUGCUCCUCCACAGAAUUAGCUGUCUCUCCCCAAAGUAGUUCUCUGGUGCUUGCAAGGCCUUAAAAUGGGGGGGGCUCCUGGCGUGUCUAAGAAGAUGUUAGGGUAGGACAGUAGGGAUAAAGACAACCCCUGACUCCUUAGAAGUUUUCCUGGAAGAAAACUUUCCUUUCCCUCUUUCUAUGGAAGAUUUAGAAACACAUUCUACUUCAGAUUCCUCAAGUAACUUCGACUAUAUAAUCCAUCAUCUUCUUCACUGUUUCAAUGUCUUCCUCAAUGAAAUAACCAGAUGUGUCUUCCUGAUUCACAAGGGGCUGAGGGUCUGAACCAUCAUCUGGAUGGGGGAGCAGGGGCACUGAAAAUCACGGGAGAGUAGAACCCCGCUGACUCCGAUGACCUUGAUGGGUCCCCUGAGCCACAGUGCUUGGCACAAAUUCCUCCAUUUCCAUUGAGCAAAGGAACGUGGUAGCCGCCACCCAGGACCAAGUCCUUGCCCACGGAGCAGAAAUGUAACGCCUCCCUAGAACUGGCUUCUCAGAGAGCAAUGGAAAUGCUA